ACACCAGCCACCACCCAAACCCUAGCCCCGUUUCCCCUCGACCCCCACAGCCUCGCCCGCCUCCUCCAUCCCUCCUCCUCGCCUCGCCACAGCCUCCGCCACGGAGCCUUGCCGCCGCCUGCGAUUCCUCCCUCCUGCCCGCAGAGCCCAUUGGGCUCGCCAACCCUAGCCCCAAUCCACAUCCCCUGCGCCCCUCACUGGUCCCUCCUCCUCCUUCCCUCGUCCGCCGCCUCGCUCUCUUGCUCUCCUCCCUCGUCGCCGUGGCCUUCUCCCUAGGAGCCCCGCCGCCUACUGCUGCUCCUCCACCACCUCGCUCUUUCUCCUCCUCGCCUUUCCAUCGCUCGCGCGCAGGUCACCGCUGUCGGCGAACGCGAGAGUGCGGGUCUUCAAGUUGGGGUGGUCAGGAGGGCUUCCCAACCUGACGGCGGCUCCUCCUCCUCGUAGAGUUGUCGCGUGUGCACCUUCUUCUCCUCCCUCCUCCCUCCCUCGUCACUACUUCCACCAGUCCCCUCCCUCCCUCGUCCGUGGCCGCUGCUGCCGCACGAAUCUCCUAGGUCAGGGAAAGGAAGAAGGCCUUGGCGAGUCGGCAGGGGUGGGUGGAGCGGCUGAUGCGGAUGGGGUCGGAGGUUGAGGGAGGGUUGCCGACCAGAGCAGCAGGAGCAAGAGCUUGAGAAGGUUCAGAUUGGAUACAAAUGGUUUAGCAAAGAGGGAGUGUGUAACCGCAUCAGAGAUUAGGCCAUCGAGCAAGAGUGUGUGACUAGGUUGUGCAAAUUUUCUCCCUGGAGGUAUGCCUCUGUCUAGACAGCAGCGGAAGCAGAGGAACCCCUCCUGGUCGAGCCCCCACCCUAUCCUCUCCACCUGCAGAGGAGAACCCCAUGAAAGCUAAAAGUUUGUGGAGGAGUGCUGGCACAGUUUUUUAGAGGGUGUUUCGGACUCAAGAUUAAUCUGGUAGUGCACGUGGUAUUGUUUGCCAUGACCAAGAAUAUCUGAUCUGCGCCAUGACAAUAUGGGCUUGCUGCAACCAGGCAGUUCUUUGUAGUAUGGUGCUUAGAUUUGGUUCCUGUGGUGAGCGUAUAUGGAGAGGCCAGAAGCAGUAGGGGUCGGCGGAGCGGCGGAUGUGGUCGACGGAGCAGCAGCGGUAGGAGCAAGGAGCUCGAGAUGGUUCAGGAAAAGUGCCUACAGAGAUUUCAGAACUAGAUAGAUGUGCAUUAUGAUAGUAUUGCUAAAGAACAUCAGAUGAUGCCACCAGGAGGGCUGCCGGCCCAAGACUAAAAUUUGGAAGGCAUAGAAAGAUGUUGUUUCAACUCCACCAGGUGCCAGCUCAAGGAUGUUACUCAUCGCUGCUGUGAAGGCCUCGCAGUGUGGUGUCGGUCGUUCACAUCUUAUAGAAUAUAUAAAUGACCAAAAACAUAAUGUCUGCAUCAUGUGAGGGUAUUACCGGUGAGGGUAUUUCUUGCUUGUGAGCUUGGGCUUGAUUCUGAAGUUAAGUAUUAAGAUGUUAGGGUAAAUUUUUAUCAAAGCUUGCUUUGUCCAUAGUCAUACCUAAUUGAGUUGCUUCAUUUCGGCAUUUCGUAUACCCGUAUUGUUACUUCCCCUAGAACAUGUCUAUGUUCCCCUAGACACAGGUGAAAUUAUUUGCCAAGCUACAAACCUUAGCAGAACUCUUGCUGGUCAUGAACUCAAACAUACCUAUUGCUACUCCUUGGUUCAAGUAUGUUUUGAUCGGUGUUACUCCUUGUGGCUUUAUUCGCCGCCAUGGUUGCUGUUUAACAUUUUUCUUUGUUCUUGAGGGUCUAUCAUUCGCAAGGUUGCUACUUUUUAGUUCUCAUCUAUAAGGUUCAUAUCUUUCCUCCCCUCUUGGAUUGUUGCAUCCUUAUUGUGUCUCAUCAUUAAGCUAGUGCAUAUAAGUAUUAAUUUGUUGAUUUCUGCUAAAGUACCGCUGAAACUUCAAAUUCUGUAUACUUUGCUUUUGGCUAUACACAAGAAUACAGUACACACAUUUGAUUAUUGAUUUAUUGUGAAGACACCACUGUGCAUGUUUUAUCUUAUGUUAUUGCUAAAACCUAAUUUUAUCAUCAAAGCAUAACAUGGUUUUCAUUGGAACUUUGUGUUACCAAAUUUAAAUGUGUGUGUACAUCGUAUUGUACAGAACAAGCAAGCGUUCUUUAUUAUUAUUAUUAUAAAGAGUGUUCAGUUUGUUACUAUAUGUGCUUGCCCAUAAUUAAACUAACUAAACCAUGGGUUUUCUUUUCAGUUCAGACUUGGAUUUAGCGGGUCUAUGCGUCAUUGGGCGCAACGGGUUCACUACUUUGCUAAAUAUUCCACUUUAACUUUAGUGAUUGUUUGUAGUUGAUUUCUAGCUAUGAUUCACAUAUUCUACUUCUACGUCCAACCCAUGGCACGACUGGAGAGCGACGUAAGCGACGUCGACCGUGGCCUAUGCCCAGAGGUAUUUUGAUGUUGUGUCAAGAAUUUUGGCUAAUUGACGGCUCAAAUGAUUGCAAGCAUAUGAUCUUCUCAGCUCGAGCGAUUGCAGGCAUAUCGACUACAGGCAAACAUACAGACACAGAAGAUCUUUUGUUUUGGUUAAAUUGCAGUCAAGAUACUUACAUGCGACUCUUAUCUAGGCAUCUGAGAAUUCCCAAAUGGUGUAUGCUUCUGUUUUAGCCUGAUUUACGUUUCUACUGUAGGUGUAGCUCUAUGAGAGUACAAACUUUUUGCACCGUUGAAGAAAAGAACGUUUAUGCUUCAGUGUGGCUUGGUAGACAGGCCCUGUUGUGGGACAGGAACCUGAUAUUGUUGUUUUUUAUGUUGGAAGAAAUGAUGGUUUGAUCCGUGUGCAAUUGCAUUGGUUAUUUCUCAACCGGUGGAGAUCA